UGCUGUAACGGUCGCUGGCUUCGACCGUUGGGCCGGGCCUGAGGCGGCGGCGGCGGCGGCGCCUCCCGCGGGAUGUCCCACGUGCUGCCCCUGCCCGUGCCCUGCCCGGUGUCGUUGGGCACCGUGCGGCGCGACGGCCCCGAGGCGGAGCUGCACGAGGCCGUGCGGCGGGGGAGCCGCGCUGCUGUUAAGAAGCUCCUGAAGAGAGGGAUCCACGUGGAUGCAGUAAACUCCUUGGGCCAGACUGCUCUCUUUACUGCUGCACUCUUCGGUCUCGGCAAAAUAGUGGAUGUGCUGUUGGAUUACGGCUCGGACCCAAAUCACCGUUGCUAUGAUGGGAGCACGCCAGUACAUGCUGCAGCCUUCUCAGGAAAUCAGGGGGUUCUUAGUAAGUUGUUGGAUGUGGGCGGUGAUCUGCGAGUCCACGAUAAAGAUGGAAGAACUCCACAGUGCUGGGCUCUGUCAGCUGGAAAGGAAACUAGUGCUCAGAUGCUGGAAUUUAUGCAGCGUUGUGCUUCACACAUGCAGGCCGCAAUUCAGAAUUUCCCUUCUGAUUUACUUAGGAAGACUGACUCAUCCAAAGUACUGAUCUGUGGCCCAGGUAGAUUUGGUGGCCUUGUUCAAGGGAUUGCAGACAGUCCUCUGGGUAAAUUUCUAAAAGGUGGAGCAAAUUCAUCACGGAACAUCUACAGCUUUGGGUUCGGGAAGUUUCAUCUAACAGGCAAUAAGCAGCUUGGGUACCUGGCAUCUCUCCCUAUCAUUGGGGAUAGAGAAGUGUUCCAGGCAGAUGAUGAACCCACAUUCUCUUACCACACGGGACCAUACAUGCUUAUGACAAACCUAAUGUGGGGUGGCAGCAGAGUCACGGUGAAGGAGCUCAAUUUUAAACCACAUCAGAACUGUAGUAAGCUCCGUUUAGCUGAUCUUCUAAUAGCAGAGCAGGAGCAUAGUAGUAAACUUCGCCAUCCUCACUUGCUGCAGCUGAUGGCAGUUUGUUUAUCUAGUGACUUGGAAAAAACUCGUUUGGUGUAUGAGAGAGUUAGCUUUGGCUCACUGUACAGCAUCCUCCAUGAAAGGCGUUCAGAGUUCCCAGUACUGUACAUGGAGACAAUUGUGUUUCUGCUGCUUCAAAUUAAUGAUGCAUUGAGGUUCUUGCAUGCUCGUGGAUUUGUCCACCGCUCACUGACCUCCUAUGCUGUACAGAUUGUUUCUGCCGGCGAAGCAAAGUUAACAAACUUGGAGUACACGCUCGAAAGCAAGGAGGGAGGAGAACACAUUGAUCUUACACGCGUUGCUGUCCCAGCUCAGCUAUAUAGAUGGUGCUCUCCUGAAGUGAUCCUUCAAAAGGCUGCUACAGUCAAAUCAGACAUUUAUAGCUUCUGUACAGUAAUGCAAGAGGCCUUAACAGAAACUCUGCCCUGGAGUGGCCAGGAAGACUCCUUUAUUAAAGAACUCAUUGUUUCGCGGCAAUACCUGAAUACUGAUGUCAGACUUCCUAAACCCUAUUAUGACAUUGUAAAGACAGGCUUGGAAGCCAAACAGAAGGACCGCUCCAUCAGCCUCCAGGAUAUUCGGUAUACCCUGCAGAAUGACUUAAAGGAUUUGAUUGCUGCUCGAAUGGAUCGCCCUGGUGAAAGCUCACAUGCACAAGGGCACAGUCUGUCUGCAGACGUAAACAUCUAUUUGGGGUCAGAAUCCAAGUACCAGAGGAGCACACUUGAGCUGCAAGGAGAAGCAAUCGUAGAGUCUGCAUGCAGCUAUACUGUGCCAAGAUGUUCAGUAUCUCCUGCGAAAAAAGGAACUGUUCUAGAUCAUGAAGCUAUGGUUAGUGUGCAGCCAGGUCUACACGAUCUGAGCCAAGAUGUGGCUUCUAACCUCCAGAGGACCUUCAGUGCCAGUGAUGUUAAUGAGAGCCUCUGUAGCUUUGAAAUGAAUGAAAUCUAUGCAUAUUAUUCAGAAUUCCAUGAAAAUGCUAUGGAAGGACAAGCUGAGAUAGAGUGUGCCUUGGGGGCUGAAAUAGAGAAGCAAAAUGUAGAAGAGGGUAAGGAUGCCUCCAAGCUCCUACCUGUAACUUCUGAAAUACAGCUAGAGGAGAAGCCCAGUUCUGAGGAAGGGAGCUCUUCAGAAACAGAUCCAGAGCACAGUUUGGGGGAAGAAGAGGCACUAAGCGAGACCUCAGAGCUGUACAUGCUGGACCAAGAGGAAAGAGAUGUCAGGACUAGUCUGAGUAGCCCAUCCAGGACUGGGCAGCACAUUAGCAAAUGUGUCCUGAACCUAAAGAUUUCUCAGACCUUCCUGCAGCAGGCAACAAAUUCCAUUUGCAGAACAGAGGAGAAGUUAAAUGAAUUAGAGACAAUCCAAAAACAACAGAGACAGCUUAAGGAAAUGCAAACAGAACAGUUUGCUAAGCAGAUGUUCAUAGAGAGCUACCUGGAGAACAUUGAUGAUGUCCUCAAAAAUGUCAAGAUACCUUAUUCAGGAGCAAAUGUGUUUUUGUGGAAGGCAGUAGGCCCUCCUUCAAGGAACUAUACCCCUCCACCUUCACAAGUGCCUGGUUCACAGAAGGCUGUGGGGAUCAACCAUUUCCAGGCUAUCACAAAGGCUGUGCAGGAAAAAAGGAAAGCACAGAGAGAAAAGACAGAAUGCUUUGGUCAAAGUAACAAGAAUAAAGGUGAUGUCUACCACAGCAGUUUCUGCCUGGGGUCUUUAGUAGGACCAAGCAAUCAGCAGUUACACCCACGCGUGUCUGUAAGACGGAAAAGAAAUGUCAACUUGCAGCACGAGAGCGGAGGUGAUACAAGUUCUGCAGGAAGUGCAGUUGAAGAGGAGAUAUGGCGGCUUCCAAAAUCAGCAUCUGAAAUUUCCAACAGAAGAAUAUUAAGUGAAGAGAGAAGGAUGGUGCAGCCAGAAUGGACAACUGAAGUGAAACAGAUGGCUAAAAGAGCAGUCUCAGGCCAGCUGGGACUUCUUCCUCCAUAUGCGCCCAGUGAAUGCACUUCUGAGAGUGAAGCAGAAAGCCUGAAGGAGACAUAUCUACAAGCCACCAUCAAGGAUCGGGGAUAUCCUGAGUGGCAGAGAAGAGCUGGCAGGUGGCAGACAGGUAGUGGCACUGAGACGCUGGAUCUGGGGAGGAAGGAAAAAUCUGAAUCGGAGUGGAGCGACGCAGAGUCUAUCUUCGAAAGUUUUGCAGGUAGAAAUGGCCAGUCUCCAUCAAAAGAUGAGCAAGCAGAGUCUGGAACAGCCUCUCAUAAGAAUUCAGACAUUUCUAGAGGAUCUCAGAAUCUCUCUAGGGGGCAUUCGAGGGUGUUAGAUCAUUCCUCUGAUUCUUCUCCUGACCUAUCUGAUGAAUUUUUCACUCCUGACCCUGAUGAAUUUUUCCCUCCUGUUACUCAAGACAGCUCAGAGGUAGAGACCUCAAGUUCUGAAGGUGAAUUAGAAAUAACCCCAAAAGCCUGCGUACCAAACCAGAUUGGUGCGGAUGCAGAGUCAGGAAGAAAAAAAUUUCUCUGCAACACAGCAAAAGAAAACCUUAGCAAUAACACAGUGGGAGUAAAUCAACUCAGCCAUAUGCCUGUAGCCAGCGUUGAAGCAGCACAAGAAAUGAUACCUGGAGAGGCACUGGAAGAGUUCAAAGAAAACUAUAUAUCAUUGACAGAUAUUCAGGAUUUGUCCAGUAUUUCUUAUGAGCGAGAGAAUUCUAGUAAGGAUUCAACUUGUAAAACACCCAGAGUGGGUCAUGCGCCAACUAGUGUCAGCACUCCACUCAGCCCAGAGAAAAAAGUGUCAUCAUCCGCUAAAAAAUACAGAAACACCCAUGAAAUACCUCUGGAUACCUCUUGUUGGUCUACUCAAGAGACUGCCUUAACAGCAUCCAGCACUUUUACUACGGCCUGUGAGAAGCAAAGGAGCGCUGAACUGCCCUUCGUCCCUUUGGAAAGCUCCUCACUUGGAUUGACUGAGCCUAGUGGUUUGUCAGGCCUUGGGGCAGCCUCAUCUUUAAUAAAGGCCAGGAAAGAAUUUGGUAAACCCAUUUCUACCACUGAGCAGAUUGACCUGGAGAAAGCUGACUUAAUCCCAGCGUUCUCUCAGGCAUCAGACCACUUUAUGGACGAGCUGCCUCCACCAGCCCAGGAGCUACUUGAUGAAAUUGAAUAUUUGAAGCAGCAGACUGCUGCCUCUCAGGAGAAGGGAUCAUGUAGCAGCAGAGUGCCAGUGAAAGCUCCCAGUCAGUGUCAACUGGCAGACAAAGAGGAAGCAGAGGAAAUUGAAAAUCAGGGAGAAGUAGAUCAUACUGUCUGGACUAAAGAGACAUUGAAUCAAACAGAGGAAACAGAGAGGGCUCAUUCUACUCUUGAUGAUGCUUUAGAAAGACUGCUCCACCCGAUUGCUGAGGCUGACAAGGUCCAAGGAGGACCUGAGGGACUUCCUCUCAGGGCAACAAGCCUUAAAGAUCAAGGAGAGGAAGGAAUGAAGAGUGGAAUAGAGGAAAGCAGUACCAGGGCAGAAAGCCGAGAGACAGAAAGCCGUGCAGGGAAUACUGAAGCUACAUAUCUCGAAGAUCAGAAACCCAAGUUGCGGCAGCGGCUACCUUGGACUUCUCCAGUCAGGGUAAUUGUCUUGGAUCAGAGCAGCCCUCCUAAGUGAUUGAAAUGGAACCUCUUUGAGAUGCAGCUAAUGAUGACCUUUUUAUGGAGCUACCAAGAAGAAUGACAAGCUUGUGCUGAGAGACCCUGGAACUGAGCAAGUGGCUGCAUGUGGACCCAGACAAGCAAGAGCAAUACAGAAAGUUAAACAAACAAGAAACAGAGGUGUGCGGUUGUCUUUCUACCAGAUCAAGGAGCUGAAACAUCUGUCAUGGGGCCAGGACCUUGACAACUAGUUUCCCCAAGGAGCGUGGCAGGCUUUGCUUUCCAGCUUCCCAGCAGCACUGCAGCUUCCACUUGCGGUGGUCCAAAGUACCAGACCGGAGCGAGUCAGAGGUGUUGCCUACAUGAAGAGGGAAACUUGGCAUGGCAGGGAUGUGCUUCCUUGUGUUACAGGAAACCUUUAAUGAAACGAGGCCUGGGGCAGUUGGAGACACCUAUAAGGGAACCAGGCAAGAAAAAGCAAAUGGUUCGUGAAGUGGCCCUAACAAGGCUCUGCGUACUCAAAUGCUGCCACGCUCAGCUCACUGCUGCUUGGCUGUGCAUGCCCCAAGGGCAUUCCUUACGGAUAACCUCCUGCAUGGUCAGCAUUCGUUAUCAGAUGUCACGCCAGGGAAAUAUGCUUUUGUGCUUGGGGCAAGGAAGAAAACAACCCCCAACUCUUAAUAGCUGCACCUCCAGGGACACUCAGCAAUCCCCACGGCAUCCUGACAUCCAAGGGAAGGCCAGUGGAAACAUUUUGUGAUCAGGCAAAAUGGGGAAAAGCACAGCAUACAGAGAACACUGCUCAUGCCCGUGGGGAGGAGGAAGCUCUAUCUCGUUUUCCGUGGCAACUAACUCAUGUGGGCUGGAUUUUCAAAGCUUAUCGUAUUCUAAGCGCCAUCGAGAUGCACCCGACGCAGUGUUAUUUCCAGGUGCGCAGCUCACCAGGGCAGUGUGGCAUCGUGUACGUGCAGCUCUGCAACCCGGAUCGCUCCCCCUUGCAAGGAAAGGUGGCUGAGCACCAUGCUGAGAGGCAGUCGAACCAGUGCUUCAGCCUCUCGCCUUUGGCGUUAAUUCCUAACACAACUCCACCUUAACAGAAAGGGACACGCGACGUCAGCUCGGCUGGUGAAGUAAGCCAAGUGGUGCCAGCAGAGAGGCAGACAAGUCUAACACUGCUGUGCUACCAACUGCCUCCAGCCAGCGCUACGCGGCCGGAUGCUGCAAACCUGCUCCAGCUAGCAGGAUGCGUUUGGAAACAGCCGGCUCGGACGGGUCCCUUGGGCGGCGGGGGGAACAGGAGGAGGCUGAGAAAAGGAAGGUCGAGUACAUCGCGGGGCCAGUUCCACACACUCUGAGGAGCAGAGGUGGAGACAGAGCAGGGCUGGAAAUGACCCUCCACCCAGAGGGUGCUGGGAGGACCGUCUCUGUGUGAGCUCUGGUGGAUGGGGAACUGCAGGAUUAAUGGAGAUGUGAGGAAAGGUGCCAGCCCUGCUUCUACGUGUGCACGUGUGUGCGGGAGCUAGAUCCGAGUAGCCGUGCAGACGGCGUGGCCAUAGGGGUCUUGAUCGUGGUGUUCCCAGUGCAACCACCCCCUGGCAGGCACGGCGCACACUUGCCCUCGCCCCUGACGGUGCAUGUUGGAAGUGGCCAGUCUCAAAGACUUCCAAUGAAAAGCCCUGGCACCUCUCCCCAACAGCAGGGUCUACUGCUUCUUGGUGAAGUGGGAGGGCAGGUCUUUGCCAUCAGGGGCUGAGAUGACAACAGCAUCCCCAUGCACUGCUUUGAGGUGUGCUCCCCAAAGGUGACCAGUGGGACUCCCUCCUUCCCAUGCCUGCAGCCCAGGCCACCCUGGGCAAGUGGAUCAUGGUGAUCGGAGGGGUUGGAGUGAAUCUGAUGCCCCUGAAGAGCGUAGAGAUGUACAACAUCCACGAGGGCAAGUGGCAGAAGAGGAACUCCCCGAGAGAAGCAGCGAUCGGCAUCUUGGUGACCGCGAAAGGCAAGGAGAAUUUGUUUGCUACGGCAGGCCUGUGGCUGGCAUGGAGGCCCCCCCGGUGCGGGGAGCACGGCAGGGAGAAGAGGGCUGCGCAGGGCUCCAGGGGCAAGGGGGGACUUUGAGCUGGGAUGGGAGAAGGAUCCCCUUUCCCUGGGAACUUGAACUGGGCCUUGUCUGAGGCUGGAGGAGUUGAUCAGUGGGUUGCCUUCCCUUCUGCAACAUCCCUUGUGCAGGGAGGAGGGACCAUUACCCUCACAGCCCUGACCCUGAAGGAGAUCCCCGACUGAAGCCACUGGGCACAGCUAAAUCCUGUGGCUCUCCCACUCUGCAGCUGUCUUGGCGGACAGCGACCUCUGUUUCCCCCAGGAUUAUUUUUUAUUUUGCCAGGCUCAAGCUUCACACAGGAGUCCAGACUUCCCCAAGGUUUGGGGUCAGGCCCAUUUCUACUUCCAGCUUCCUGUAACUCAGGGAAGGAAGCUAAGAGGGGUUCAGGGGCCAGUUCUGCUUUUGAGUACAACAGGGUCAAUCUGGAGUGACUUCACUUGGUUUGCCCAGGGCAGGAUUGGCUCCCUGUGUUGGUUCUGGUCACAUUUAUUUCCAAGGCCCAGUCACCGGGUUUGCAGAGGCACUGACUGCUCGAGACUCCAUGGAUAUCUGUGGGAGCGAGGAGCUCCUAGUGCCUCUGCAAAUCAGGCUGUCAAGAUCCCUGCACUGGUUUAACCUUCCUGGUGGUGUGAGGCCUGGGCUGCAGCUGUUGGAACAUCCCUGGGGCGGGCACGGGGCACGCACCCCCAAGCCUGUGGCACCCCUGGGGCUGCUGCACCACCCAGGCAAGGGGAGAGGGCACGGGGCCCAGAGCUGAGCCCAGGCUGCACCUGCACUGGUCCAGGCUGGCUCUGCACCCCAUGCUGGCCUUGGGGGCAUGUGCACAGGGUGGAGGGGCCGGAGGUGCCGUGUGCCGGGGCAGCUGGCAGGGGUGUGGGGGAUUGGGGCCUGGUGUGCUCCCGGGGCAGGCAGGCACUGCCUGCUGCUGCAUGGGGCUGAGCCUCUGCCUUCCAGCGCCCUGCACCGGGCUGGCCCUGCAGCAGCACCACGGGCUCCAGCCAGGCCUCAGUGUAGCCCAGAGGCCCAAGUGCUUGGGGCUUGCCCUGCCCCUGCCCCGCUCUGUCAGCGCUUCGUGCUGUGCUGGGACAGGGAGCCAAGGCCGGGCCAGUGUAACAUAUGCACUGUGAAAUGUGAUGCAUUGUGUGAGCUGAAAAUGUGACAUGAGUGUGUGACAGAAGGACAGCAAUUUGCAGAGGGCUGCUGACUGCCCUUGCACUACACAUCCCAGAGGCACCUGGAAGUGGGAAGAGGAAGUGAUGAGGACCCUGCAGAGUCCUGCUGCUGCACUGCAAAUCCCCCAAACCCAGCGGGACAGGAGGAGGAAGAGGAGGUGGUGACCUGGGAUCCCUGGCUGGCGACGUGCCAGCAAAGCUGCAAGCCGUGGUGCCCGCUGGAGAUGGACUGAAGCAGAGCAGACGCUGCACGGCACCGGUCUCUGGAGGAAAGGCUGGUUCUUGGGGACAUCCCUCCGCACAGGAGGGCAGGGGACCGUAUGUGCUGAUGUGGGACCCAGCGGGACUGACCACUACCUGUCCCCUGCCCUCUAAGUGCACGUGCUUACACUUGG